GAUGAAGAACGCAGUGAAAUGCGAUAAGUAAUGUGAAUUGCAGAAUUCAGUGAAUCAUCGAAUCUUUGAACGCACACUGCGCCCGCCAGCAUUCUGGCGGGCAUGCCUGUUCGAGCGUCAUUUCAACCAUCAAGCCCCGGGCUUGUGUUGGGGACCUGCGGCUGCCCGCAGGCCCCGAAAUGCAGUGGCGGGCUCGCUGUCACACCGAGCGUAGUAGCAUACACACCUCGCUCAGGGCGUGCCGCGUGCUUCCCGGCCGUUAAAACGCGCACCGACGCGCCAAAGGUUGACCUCGGAUCAGGUAGGAAGACCCGCUGAACUUAAGCAUAUCAAUAAGCGGAGGA
rnacentral:misc_RNA from 1 species